CCUACGGGUGGCAGCAGUGAGGAAUAUUGGUCAAUGGACGAGAGUCUGAACCAGCCAAGUAGCGUGAAGGAUGACUGCCCUAUGGGUUGUAAACUUCUUUUAUAUGGGAAUAAAAUGUUCCACGUGUGGGCUUUUGUAUGUCUCCUAUGAAUAAGGAUCCGCUAACUCCGUGCCAGCAGCCGCGGUAAUCCGGAGGGACCGAGCGUUAUCCGGAUUUAUUGGGUUUAACGGGAGCGUAGGUGGAUUGUUAAGUCAGUUGUGAAAGUUUGCGGCUCAACCGUAAAAUUGCAGUUGAAACUGGAGGGCUUGAGUACAGUAGAGGUGGGCGGAAUUCGUGGUGUAGCGGUGAAAUGCUUAGAUAUCACGAAGAACUCCGAUUGCGAAGGCAGCGCACUGGACUGCAACUGACACUGAGGCUCGAAAGUGUGGGUAUCAAACAGGAUUAGAUACCCCGGUAGUC
rnacentral:rRNA from 1 species